GUGAAUCAUCGAAUCUUUGAACGCACAUUGCGCCCGCCAGUAUUCUGGCGGGCAUGCCUGUUCGAGCGUCAUUUCAACCCUCAAGCCCCAGCGGUUUGGUGUUGGGGACCGGCGAGUACAGAGGCUUUGGGGACUUGUCCCCCUUCCCUCGGCGCCGCCCCCGAAAUGAAUUGGCGGUCUCGUCGCGGCCUCCUCUGCGUAGUAGCACAACCUCGCAUCAGGAGCGCGGCGCGGCCACUGCCGUAAAACGCCCAACUUUUUUUAAGAGUUGACCUCGAAUCAGGUAGGAAUACCCGCUGA
rnacentral:misc_RNA from 1 species